rnacentral:rRNA from 1 species
GGAGUUUGGACCGUGUCUCAGUUCCAAUGUGGGGGACCUUCCUCUCAGAACCCCUACUGAUCGACGGCUUGGUGGGCCGUUACCCCGCCAACUGGCUAAUCAGACGCGGAUCCAUCUCACACCGAUAAAUCUUUUACCUCGGCACCAUGCGGUGCCGGGGUCUUAUGCGGUAUUACCAGCCGUUUCCAGCUGCUAUCCCCCAGUGUGAGGCAGGUUAUCCACGCGUUACUCACCCGUCCGCCACUAAGUUAAGUUCCAUCCGAAAAUUUCCCUUAACCCCGUUCGACUUGCAUGUGUUAGGCACGCCGCCAGCGUUCAUC